rnacentral:tRNA from 1 species
CGGGGUGUAGCGCAGCCUGGAUUAGCGCGCUUGCUUGGGGUGCAAGAGGUCGUGGGUUCGAAUCACGCCACCCCGACUA